rnacentral:rRNA from 1 species
GACGAACGCUGGCGGCGUGCUUAACACAUGCGAGUCGAACGAAGAGGCCCCUUUGGGGGUACUCGAAGGGGUAACGGGGGGGUAACAGGUUAGUAACCUGCCCUUGAGUUCGGGAUAACUUCCGGAAACUGGGGCUAAUACCGUAUAGGAAUCCUUUCUGCUUGGGGGGGGUUGGAAGGCUUCUGAGGGUUUGAAGGGGCUCGGGGAGUAUCAGCUUGUUGGUGGGUUAGUGGCUUACCAGGCCUAUGACGGGUAGCCGGCCUGAGAGGUGGACAGGCCACACUGGGACCGAGAGAAGGCCCAGACGCCGACGGGAGGAAGAAGGGGGGAAUACUGCACAAUGGGCGGAAGCCUGAUGCAGAAACGCCGCGGGCGGGAUGACGGUCUUCGGGUUGUAAACCGAUUGCAGCAGGGGCGAAGCUUGUGGUGACGGUACCUGCAGAAGAAGCACCGGCUAACUACGUG